UCGGUAAGGACUUCAUGGGCGGAGAGUGGAGAAGCCACCAUGCUAAUAUUGAAGCAGGGCAAAUUCUAGCUCUCAUUUUCUCAUUUUUCAUUUUCUCUCAUAUUUGUAUAAUCACCCUUGUCGUGAUGUUUUACUUUGUAAUCAUCAUACAUACAAUAUUUGAACUAUGGUAGAACUUACGUUGCACACGUCUGAUUUAUUGUAAUUUCAUUUUUUGAUUAUAUUUGGCUAUUUUGUGCUAGUGGAGUUAGAUCGAUUAAAAUUCUCU
rnacentral:lncRNA from 1 species